CUUUUCCGAAAGCUCAUUUUUUUUUGCCACGAAAGCACAUUUUAAAUCCAUUUACCAACUGCAAUGCUUUAAUUGGGUGUCAGAGAUUAAAAUUAAAUUCGUAAUGCUAUAUUUCUUCAAAUAAUGAAUCGAAAACAAUGUAUGAAAAUAGCGGGCCUUCAAAUAGCUGCGGCAAGCCUGACGUGUUUGUGACCAUAGCAAACAAGUUCAAACGACACCCAAUAAAUGACACUUUUUCAAUGACUUCGAUCCGACUUAAGUUGUUCCUCACCAUGGCUGGGACGGGUGAUGCCGGGCGGGCUGGUGGAGGUUCCCAGCGGGGAGUGAAUAGCGUCCAUGGCGGUGGGAGGUUCACUGGAGGCGUCCGAGUCGGCGCCGUCCCGGUCCGCCUUGCACUCCUCGUACAUCCUCAGCGACGGCAUGGUUAGCUGUUUCCUGUCCACAGCAGCAACAGCAGCAUGACAUGAUGUACUUCUUCAUCACAUAUCGGGAUCGAACAUCAACCGUACAAGAGAAGAACAGAUGACUAUCAUAUCAAUAAUUGACAUCGUCGUGCCAUCCAUUUAAAAAAGAUUCUUCCCGGCGUGCGCAUGUGUGUGUGUGACCUUCUUGUGUCCUCUAAACGGAUCCAGAUGACCCCAGUGACCAUCGCACAGGAGGCUGCGAUCGCGAACGAACCCGGAUGAUACGUUCAGGGACACUGUGUAUGAAGAUAACAGACACUUUGGAGAGGGAUGAAAGGUCAAAAACUGUACCAUGGUGACACCAUUGGAAGGACAUCCACCUGACACCUGGCCUGCAAGGCAAGGCAAGGCACCAGACGGGGGCGCUAGAAGGACUCCUUGUUUGGAUGCAGAAAGAAGAUCCACUCUAGAGCAUUCUAGAAUGGGUUCUUGGCCUGCUGUUAGAAAUAAUGAGAGCAGCAGGCGGCCUGUUUGUUCCAUGCAGGCUUACACUGAUGAAGUGUUCAUGUAAUACUUUUAUCACGUCACACUUUAACUACACUAAUCGUCACACAAGUGUAAAAAGAAGUUAAGCAGUGCAGUAAAACAUGAAAAAGUCCACCUCAUCUAUAUAAUAGUAUACCGUAUAGAAACAUUUCAACCCCUUUUCUUUAUAUUACACCUUUUGCUCUUUUCUUCCACUUCUACUGUUUAGUUGUUCGUGACAUAAUUUGUAUUUUUUAUAAUAUAAUCAUAUUAAAGACAAACAUAGGCCUCUUUUUACACACUAAAUAAAUACAACAGUUUCAGUCUGUAGUCUGGACAUACUCUAUAGUAUACUGUACACAUACAGGGUAAUAUAUGUAUUUAAUAAAAAUACAUACUGUACAGUAUACUGUACACAUACAGGGUAAUAUAUGUAUUUCAUACUAAUACAUACUGUAUAGUAUACUGUACACAUACAGGGUAAUAUAUGUAUUUCAUACUAAUACAUACUGUAUAGUAUACUGUACACAUACAGUGUAAUACACAUAUUAGAUACUAAUACAUACAGUAUAGUAAACUGUACACAUACAGGGUAAUAUAUGUAUUUCAUAUUAAUACAUACUGUAUAGUAUACUGUGCACAUACUGUGCACAUAUUAUGUAUUUCAUAUUAAUACAUACUGUAUAGUAUACUGUACACAUACAGGGUAAUAUAUGUAUAUGAUAAUAAUACAUAUCGUAUAGUAUAUUGUACACAUACAGGAUAAUGUACAUAUUUGAUAUUAAUACAUACAGUAUAUUAUACUGUACACAUACAUGAUAAUAUAUACGUAUUGUCUUUGAUACUCAUACAGUAUAGUAUACUGUACACAUCCAGUGUAAUACACGUUUUUGAUACCAAUACAUACAGUAUAGUACACUGUACAUGUACAGUGUAAUACAAGUAUUUGAUACUAAUACAUACAGUAUAGUAUACUGUACAUGUACAGCGUACUACACAUAUUUGAUACAAUACAUACAGUAUAGGGAUACUGUACACAUCCAGGGUAAAAUCCAUAUUUUAUACCAAUACAUGUUUAAUUUCAUGAACAAUUCAUGAUGAAACUAACACUUUUAAAAAUCUAUAAUUCCAUGUAAUGUAUAUCAUACAUACAGUAUAUGAAUACACUAUACAGUAUUCAGUAUACUGUAUAUGUACAUGCAGUGUCGGCCUACCGGCGGAUGCUUUAUUUUUCACAGUUUUGCAUUUCCCUGAAUUGUCCAAUGAAUCUUCCAAAACAAGCACAAAGGUAAAAAGGCUGUUUCUCUUUCUCUUUCAAUCUCCCCAUCUCUUUCAUGUACUAUUCUUGUAAUGAAUAGACAUCAAUAUGACCAUUAAAAGAUUUUAGCACCCA